AAGGGUGGCGUAGGCGGCCUGUUAAGUCAGGGGUGAAAGACGGUAGCUCAACUAUCGCAGUGCCCUUGAUACUGACGGGCUUGAAUGGACUAGAGGUAGGCGGAAUGUGACAAGUAGCGGUGAAAUGCAUAGAUAUGUCACAGAACACCGAUUGCGAAGGCAGCUUACUAUGGUUUUAUUGACGCUGAGGCACGAAAGCGUGGGGAUCAAACAGGAUUAGAUACCCGAGU
rnacentral:rRNA from 1 species